rnacentral:rRNA from 1 species
UGGGGAAUCUUGCACAAUGGGCGAAAGCCUGAUGCAGCGACGCCGCGUGCGGGAUGAAGGCCUUCGGGUUGUAAACCGCUUUCAGCAGGGACGAGGCCGCAAGGUGACGGUACGUGCAGUAGAAGCCCCGGCUAACUACGUGCCAGCAGCCGCGGUAAUACGUAGGGGGCAAGCGUUAUCCGGAUUCAUUGGGCGUAAAGCGCGCGUAGGCGGUUUGUUAGGUCAGGAGUUAAAUCUGGGGGCUCAACCCCUAUCCGCUCCUGAUACCGGCAGGCUUGAGUAUGGUAGGGGAAGGCGGAAUUCCAAGUGUAGCGGUGAAAUGCGCAGAUAUUUGGAAGAACACCGGUGGCGAAGGCGGCCUUCUGGGCCGCGACUGACGCUGAGGCGCGAAAGCUAGGGGAGCGAACAGG